GGGUACAUGGUGAUACAUGCCUGUAAUCUCUGCUUCUGGGGAAGCUGAGGUAUGUGGGUCACUUGAGCUCAAGCAUUCUGUGUCACAAUGGGCUUCUGCCCAAUGGGCAUUUGCACUGUCUAGCACCAAUAUGGUGAAUUCCUGGAGUGAAGGGGCUUAGCAGGCUGUCUAAGGAAGGGUGAGCAAGCCCAGAUGGGAAACUGAGCAUGUCAAAGCUUAUGUGCUGAUCAACAGUGGGGUCUGGCCUGUGAAUGGUCACUGCACUAACAGCCUGGGCAAGACAGGAAGACCCAAUCUUAA
rnacentral:SRP_RNA from 1 species